CAGUCGCCGCGGUAAUACGGGGGGGGCAAGUGUUAUUCGGAAUGACUGGGCGUAAAGGGCACGUAGGCGGUGAAAAGGGUGGAAAGUGAAAGUCGCCAAAACACUGGCGGGGUGCUUUCUUGACCAUUUCACUUGAGUGAGAUAGGGGAGAGUGGAAUUUCGUGUGGAGGGAUCAAAUCCUAAGAUAUACGAAGGAACGCCAACCGCGAAGGCAGCUCUCUGGGUCCCCACUGACGCUGGGGUGCGAAAGCAUGGGGAGCAAACAGGAUCAGAUACCCCAGUAGUCCCUGUCUCUUAUACA
rnacentral:rRNA from 1 species